AUUGAACGCUGGCGGCAUGCCUUACACAUGCAAGUCGAACGGCAGCACGGGGGCAACCCUGGUGGCGAGUGGCGAACGGGUGAGUAACGCAUCGGAAUGUACCCAGUAGUGGGGGAUAACUAGUCGAAAGACUAGCUAAUACCGCAUACGCACUGAGGUGGAAAGCGGGGGAUCGCAAGACCUCGCGCUAUUGGAGCAGCCGAUGUCCGAUUAGGUAGUUGGUGGGGUAAAGGCCUACCAAGCCUGCGAUCGGUAACUGGUCUGAGAGGACGACCAGUCACACUGGGACUGAGACACGGCCCAGACUCCUACGGGAGGCAGCAGUUGGGAAUCUUAGGCAAUGGACGAAAGUCUGACCUAGCGACGCCGCGUGAGGGAAGAAGGCCUUCGGGUUGUAAACCUCUGUCAUGGGGAAGAAGGAAGUGACGGUACCCAAGAGGAAGCCCCUGCUAACUACGUG
rnacentral:rRNA from 1 species